AAACCGGAUUUUCUAAAAUCCACCCUGAAAACCAAAGAUUAAUUU
rfam:Thalassiosira oceanica strain CCMP1005 To_g15341, whole genome shotgun sequence.